rnacentral:miRNA from 1 species
ACAGUAACAGCCUUCCUGAAGCUUGC